rnacentral:pre_miRNA from 1 species
GAAGUACUCCCUCCGUCUGAAAAUACUUGUCAUCAAAAUGAAUAAAAGGGGAUGUAUCUAGAUGUAGUUCUAGAUACAUCCCCUUUUAUUCAUUUUGAUGACAAAUAUUUUUGGAUGGAGGGAGUAUUCA